GAGGACUGGUCAUAAAAAUGUGCUUAGUGUGCUUUCUUUGGGUGGUUAUUUAAAGCACUUAAUCACCCUUUUUUUUUUUUUUUUUUUUUAGAAGCACUUAACAUCUGUUGAGCUCGACACCGAUAUGUUGAUGUUUUAAUACAAUGCCAAAAGAAAAGGGAAAAAAAAACAGAUUUACGUGGACCGCAGUCGCUCAUCUGUAUUACAGUACUGCGUGUUAUCUGAUUGACCACACGUCUACCGUGCUUGUUUUAAUCCCGAUUGUUCGAACGGUUCUUUGCAACCGGCUCGUAAACGCCAUGCUAGGCUACCUCACCGCUUCCACCUCGGCGUCGAGGCAGAACAAAGGGGCGUGAAGAAGAGCCCCUCUCCCUCUCUUUCCGAGAACAUCCAGCAACUUUGUUGAGCCAGCGCGGCCACCAAGUUAGCUCGCGCUCCCUCCGUGCUAACCUGGAGAAGGGGGACACCGCUAGCCUGGCGACAAGCAGCCGAGGCGGCGUCUCUGAAGGGACUUUCUCGGGGAUGGAAAGACGCGAGUGGCUAGUUUGUGGGAGUGUAGAUCGCAUUUCCCCUGUGUUAAUCGAAGUUGACCUAGCCGCAGUUAUCGAUCGCCGACGCUGAUUUACCCACUUAGCUAACGCACUGCGCCGCUAAACGAGUACAAACUCCCCGCUGACAUACACAGGGGGACAGCCACGCUUUGUUCGUGAAUCACGAGUUUGCGAGAAAAGGUAGAAAACGGAGAUUGAACAACCCAACUCUCGAUGCGAGCCCGGACCCCGUCGCUCUCAUUGGACCGAGGCUGAGCGGCAGCCGGCCUCCCAUUGGCCGAGUGGCGGAACAACAGGCAGCAGGAUGGACCGGCCGUCCGUCCACCCACCCACCGAGGCCACAUGGAACAAUAACCGAGCCUUGGAGCCCCAAACUGGGCGAGGAGGAGCCUGACCUCAGGGUCACCACUGUGGUUUGUGCUCAUUUUAUGACACGAUUUAAAGGAUGUUCCCUGUUCAAGAAGCUGCAAUAUUCUGGGCACUGAUGAUAAUUAUAUGAAAAAAAAGAGCCCACAAAAGACUAUUUAUUACAGUGAACACUGGAUGUUUUGGAUCUUAUUGGUCAAACAUCAGAUAGUUUGCAAUUUUCUUAUUGUCGAUCCCCGAUUGUAAAAAGGGGGGCACAAGAAAAUCAGUUGUUAGUAGUUCAAUGAAAGGCAAUUUGAACAGAAUUUGCAUUGACACACCAUGUAGGUAACCCCUCACCUAAAAACCCCACACACACGCCUCAAAGGGUUUGUUAAAAAGCCCCAAAACAUUAAAAAAAUAUCCAUC